GUGUGCUGGUGUGCGCCCCCGUGCCCCUGAACUCGUUUCCUGGGAUCGCGGCUCCUUCCCCGCUACGACGGGGCUGGAGCCUGUCAACACAUUCUCCACUUCUGCUCUUUAUUCUGCCGGAGGUGGGAGAGAGAGUGGAAAGGCAUUUCCUGCGUCAAUGGGGUUGUUGAAGGAAGACCGUGUGUGUGUGUGUGUGUGUAAGAAUACUGUAUCCUAAACUCACACACAAAAGCUUUAAUUGCGGUGAUGCUACGUGCUAAUCCCCUCCUUCUCUCCCGGUUGUUCUGCAGGUCAACGAGUACCUGACUGGCCAGGAGUCUGCCAAGAGUGCCAGGUUGAACAUUUGGCGCUACGGAGACUUCCGCGCCGACGACGCCGAUGAGUUCGGCUACCGUCGCUAAAACAUCGGAAAAAAAGACGGGAACGAAAACGCAACACGCCAUCCAUCCCAACACCAUUCCAAAGACCACCCGCGGAAGACGAGAGGCGCGUCAGGAAGACCCCCUUUGAUCACCUAAAAUCAACUAAACGACAAGCAUUGACGUUCAGCUUCCAUUUUGUUUCGACAAGUCAUUAUUUUUCCUUUUUUUUUUUAACGCUUAAUUCUUUUUUUGUUUUCCCCCGUUUUUUGUUUUUUAUAAAUAACUGCGCCCGUCUUAUCUUCGUAUCUUACUGAACAUGAAAUCCAGACUCGUUUUGAUGUUGAAAGUUCUCUCUUCUAACCACCAAUCAUGUAUCACUCGAUCUCAGCGGGCCAAUUUGCCAGUUCCUCUGCACUAUUGCCAAUCUGUGUUAAUUGCCAUGCUUCGUUUUAUUUUUGUUUGCUUCAUAAAAUGACCCCCACCCCCCCCGUUUUCAGCUAAUCGUCCCCCUCCGUUGUCCGAUGCCCUGCAGCCAAUCCACAUCGUCGUUCACGCGAGAAAGGGCAUUGAGCUCUGGUUUCUCUUGUCGAUUCUCUUAAUUCUCCCGAUCGAUUUUGCCAUGUAAAUGUGAGCAUAUGUUGAAACGUGUGAAUUUGGUUUACUCCCUGAGGGAUUAGGUAGGGGGAAAGGCUGCACUGGGACGGAACCAAGAAAAUCAAAGUUGUAUGUCGGGGUUCCUUUCGGUGGUAAUCUGUGUGAUAAGGACUACUCCCAGAGUUUUUGUGAGCGGUUCGGUCGCCAUAUGGCUGCCUCUUCGCGCUCCGACGUCGUGAACUUCCUCGAUAUUACAGCAUUAAUCAUGGUCAUCUCUCACUCUAUCUCUCUCUUUCGGUAAUGUUUACAUUCUGUUGCAACGGUUAUGAUCUCGUCUUUGGCAGUCCCUCUCUUCUCCUGUCUCUGUAUAUCACGGCAGAAACAGUGUAUGAAUUUUGUUUUCCUUAUAAUAGACCUUGUCAUUAUAUUAAAAGAAAAAAAGAUCUGCUGAAUAAAAAUAUGCAAAUGAA